GCUCGUGGACACCAAUACUUGUUUUACGCCUCCUCCCUCUGCUUGCCCUUUGGCGAUGAAACCCUAGACACAAUCCAAAUAAACCCCCCGUCAGCUCUCCCUUCAUCCUACUUCGAUCUUCAAACGAUUAGAGUAAUUAGGUUUCAUACAUUCUCCGCUUCCCUGCAAUCCGAGCCAUGGACGCCCAAAGAGCUUUGCUAGAUGAGCUGAUGGGUUCAGCUCGCAAUUUGACUGAAGAAGAGAGAAGGGGACACAAAGAAAUCACCUGGGAUGAUAAGGAAGUAUGUGGCUUCUACAUGGUGAAAUUUUGCCCUCACGAUCUGUUCGUCAACACUCGAAGUGAUCUUGGUCCAUGCCCUAAAAUCCAUGAUCCAAAGUUGAAAGAAAGCUUUGAGAGCUCUCCAAGGCAUGAUUCCUAUGUGCCAAAAUUUGAAGCAGAACUGGCUCAUUUCUGCGAAAAGUUGGUCAUGGACUUGGAUAGGAGAGUUAAGCGAGGUCGGGAGCGCCUUGCUCAGGAGGUUGAAGUUCCUCCUCCCCCACCUGUCCCAGUUGAAAAAUCUGAGCAAUUAUCUGUGCUGGAGGAGAAAAUCAAGAACCUGCUGGAAUCAGUGGAGGCUCUUGGGGAAGCUGGCAAGGUGGAUGAAGCUGAAGCACUCAUGAGGAAGGUGGAUCUGCUUAACAUGGAGAAAACAGCCCUGACCCUGCAACCACAGAGUGACAAAGUAUUAAUGCUUGCUCAGGAAAAGAAGAUGGCUCUUUGUGAAACAUGUGGUUCUUUUCUGAUAGCAAAUGAUGCUCUUGAAAGAACUCAGUCUCAUGUGACUGGAAAGCAGCAUAUUGGUUAUGGCAUGGUCAGAGAUUUCCUCGCUGAGUACAAGGAGGCCAAAGAGAAGGCAAGGGAAGAGGAGCGGCUGGCAAGGGAGAAAGAAGCGGAAGAAAGGAGGAAGCAGAGAGAAAAGGAAGUUGAAGGUAGACGUAGAAGUGGAUCAGCUGACAGGGACAAGAACCGUCAUAGGGAGUGUGACCGUCGAGACCGUGAAAGGUCCCGAGAUCGGAACAGUAGAGGCAGUCGUGAUAUGGGAAGAGCAUCAGAGCGUAGGCACAACAGUUUUAGAAACGGAGGAGACAGGAGCAGGGAUAGAUAUCGCGAGCGUGACAGGAGCAGGUCCCAUUCCCCUGCUAGGCAUGGGGGGCGCAGGAGGUCAUCCAGAAGUCCAUAUUAGUGAAAUCUGUAGAUAAAUGUCUCUGGAUUUGAAGUCAGAAGAGGUAGACGUCCUUCCAUAACGUUCAUUCUAUGAAUGUGUGUGUGUUUUGGAGUCUCAAGGUAUAAUGUGUUUUUCAUGGGUGAACCUCUUUUUUGUUCUCACAGCUUUGUUGAGACUAAUCUCCUCCUAUCAUCAAUGUAACUAGAGGAGAAAAAGAGUCAGAGUUUAUCCCUUUUGCUAUUGGGGUGACUGUGGAACCAUAUCCUUGAUUUUAUAGAUUUGGUUAAUACAAAUUAGUAUUCCUGCUGCUGAAAGAAAUCAUGGUUUUCCACCGGUAUGACGUAAAUCUUGAAUCCUUAUUGGUUGAAUCUUUAUGAGGUAACCAUAUUCCUUGCAUAUUUGCUUUUAUAACUUUUUGUUCCCACUUUAUCAUAAUUAGGAAGUCAUUGUGGUGAGGUUAAUGAAUGAAAAUUUGGUUUCUGGGAAGACAGAGCUAUGGCUAACUCAUGCAUUAUUAUGGAAGAAAUAAAGGAAAGGUAUCUUAACUGCUAUAUAGGCAUACAAUAGAAUACAAGAAUAGGGAACCAAGUAUUUCAUAAAUGUA